AAAUAAUUUAAUUCAAUCUGUCUCCUUCUCCUUCAAUUUUCUUCAUCUUCCUCACACCAAUGUCACAAUUUUAGGGUUUUAAUUUAAUUUUACUUUUGUUUCUUAAUUUCAGAAGCUUAAGUAAUCGCCAUUGAUAUGGCAGUUUCUGCUUCUGCUUCUUCUACUUCACUAACACUACCAGACCUCAGUUUCAUUUCUCCAAAAACAACUGCUAAUUCAAAGCACAGAUUCUCUCUCUCUAGAAACUAUUCUCUCUCUAGAGUUCCGGCUAAAACCGCCGCUCUCCGUCUCCGGACGGUGGCGACUAGAGUUCGGGGCAGUAGUAUCAGAGAGGAGAUUUUGUUGAUUGAUGAGAAGGAAAGAGAGCUGUUGAAACAAGUGAAUGGAAACGGCUCUGCUUCAUCUUCUUAUAAUAGUAAUGGCAGUUUGGUAAAGUAUGUAAAUGGAGGAAACGGCGUCGCUUCGUCUGCUGAAGUGGUGGUUGUUGAGGGAGAUCAAAAUGCUGCGGCGGAGUUUUCGAAGGAGGUUGGUAGGAGAAAGAGAAUUGAAGAGAUUGGGAAAGAAGACGCUUGGUUUAAGAAAGCUGAUCAGCAGCAGCAAGUUGAGGUUUCUGUUGCUCCUGGUGGCCGUUGGAGUAGGUUUAAAACUUAUUCCACAAUUCAAAGGUCUUUAGAAAUAUGGGGAUUUGUUAUAACUUUCAUCUUCAGAGUUUGGUUGAAUAACCAGAAGUUCUCAUAUCGAGGUGGAAUGACAGAGGAAAAAAAAGUUCUAAAGAGGAAAGCCCUUGCUAAGUGGUUAAAGGAAAAUAUAUUGAGAUUAGGUCCUACUUUCAUCAAAAUUGGGCAGCAGUUCUCCACUAGAGUUGACAUUCUUGCUCAGGAAUAUGUUGAUCAGCUGUCAGAAUUACAGGAUCAAGUCCCACCUUUCCCAUCAGACACUGCCUUAGCCAUAGUUGAAGAGGAGCUUGGAGCCCCAUUGAAUAAUAUCUUUGAUCGGUUUGACUAUGAACCAAUUGCUGCUGCAAGUCUUGGCCAGGUUCAUCGUGCAAAAUUGAAGGGAGAGGAAGUUGUGGUGAAAGUGCAAAGACCUGGUCUCAAGGAUCUUUUUGACAUUGAUCUUAAAAACCUGAGGGUAAUAGCAGAAUACCUUCAGAAGGUGGACCCAAAGUCAGAUGGUGCAAAGAGAGAUUGGGUUGCAAUUUAUGAUGAAUGUGCUAAUGUCUUGUAUCAGGAGAUUGAUUACACCAAGGAAGCUGCUAAUGCAGAACUAUUUGCAAGUAAUUUCAAAGAUCUGGAAUAUGUCAAAGUCCCAUCAAUUUACUGGGAAUUCACUACGCCACAGGUGCUGACAAUGGAGUAUGUCCCAGGGAUCAAAAUUAAUAAGAUACAAGCUAUAGAUCAAUUGGGUGUUGAUCGUAAAAGGUUGGGCCGCUAUGCUGUUGAAUCUUACUUGGAACAAAUUCUAUCUCAUGGUUUUUUUCAUGCUGAUCCUCAUCCAGGAAAUAUAGCUGUUGACGAUGUCAACGGUGGACGACUGAUCUUUUAUGAUUUUGGCAUGAUGGGAAGCAUCAGUUCAAACAUAAGAGAAGGAUUGUUGGAAACUUUUUAUGGAGUUUAUGAGAAGGAUCCUGAUAAGGUUCUUCAAGCAAUGGUCCAAAUGGGUGUUCUUGUGCCUACUGGAGACAUGACAGCUGUCAGACGAACUGCACAAUUCUUCCUUGUCAGUUUUGAGGAGCGUCUUGCUGCUCAAAGAAGAGAGAGAGAAAUGGCUACAGCAGAACUUGGAUUUAAAAAGCAAUUGAGUAAGGAGGAAAAGAUAGAGAAAAAGAAGCAACGCUUGGCUGCAAUUGGAGAAGACUUGUUAGCCAUUGCAGCAGAUCAACCUUUUCGAUUUCCUGCCACAUUCACAUUUGUUGUUAGAGCCUUUUCAGUAUUGGAUGGCAUUGGGAAGGGUCUUGACCCUCGGUUUGAUAUAACAGAGAUUGCCAAGCCUUAUGCACUUGAGUUGCUAAAGUUUCGCGAAGCUGGAGUUGAAGUUUUUGUGAAGGACCUCAGAAAGAGAUGGGACAGGCAGUCUAGUGCAUUCUACAACUUAUUUAGACAGGCUGAUAGAGUUGAAAAGCUUGCAGAAACUAUCCAACGAUUGGAGCAAGGUGAUUUAAAGCUCCGGGUUAGAACUCUGGAGUCUGAAAGGGCUUUUUUGCGUGUGGCUGCUGUGCAAAAGACAGUAGGGAGUGCAGUAGCUGCUGGAAGUCUUAUAAACCUUGCAACAAUUUUGUACCUCAACUCUAUUAGAGUACCAGCCAUUGCAGCAUAUGUAGUUUGUGCAUUUUUCAGCUUCCAAAUUCUCUUUGGCAUUAUAAAAGUCAAAAAGUUAGAUCAGCAAGAAAGGUUGAUAACAGGAACUGCUUAACAAACUGAUAUUGAGACUCUGCAAGCAUAGCUUCUGAGGAUUAAGUACCGGGUACCUGUUUUUUCUGGUUUUCCUAUUCCUGACCAGCAAACAGAAUCAUUUUUUGUAAGAUCCUUUUAGUGUAGGAAUUCAACUUAUGCAAGGCUAACUAUGGCAAGAUCUAGCCUUUCGAAGACUAACCUUGGUGAAUAUAUAUUGUUGGUUCAAUAUCAGCACACAGACAUGCAAUGAAGACAAUUUUAAAGCUAAAUGGUUGGCCGUCUUCUAAAGCAAAAUGCCUACCUCGAACUUCUGUUAGUUCAGAAAAACAAUCGUAUUUCUCCAAGCAUGCACAGUUACAGAUUUCCUGCUCCCGUCGAGGAAUAUUCAGGUUUUUCACGGUUAACAUCUCUAAGCAGGAAGGAGGGUUAAUACUUUUGUUGGCAUGUAUAGCCUUUGGAAAUGCAAUGUCCAUAAACUGUGUAUAAUAAUAAUACUAUAACUUUUGUAAUGUUUUUGGUACAAAUUUUGAGUCAUACCAUUGUUAUAUUGGACUCCAACUUCUGGAUUCUUUUGUUUUC